UACGUAGGGGGCAAGCGUUGUCCGGAUUUAUUGGGCGUAAAGAGCUCGUAGGCGGUUCGCUAAGUCGGGUGUGAAACCUCCAGGCUCAACCUGGAGACGCCACCUGAUACUGGUGUGACUAGAGUCCGGUAGGGGAGUGUGGAACUCCUGGUGUAGCGGUGAAAUGCGCAGAUAUCAGGAAGAACACCAGCGGCGAAGGCGGCACUCUGGGCCGGUACUGACGCUGAGGAGCGAAAGCGUGGGUAGCAAACAGG
rnacentral:rRNA from 1 species